AGGGCCUUGUUUAACUGAUAGAGAUAGG
rnacentral:piRNA from 1 species